rnacentral:tRNA from 1 species
GGUAAUAGCUCAGUGGUAGAGCAUAUGCUUAGCAUGCAUUAGGUCCUGGGUUCAAUCCCCAGUACACCA